rnacentral:tRNA from 1 species
UGGCUCAGUGGUUAAGAGCACUGACUGCUCUUCCAGAAGUCCUGGGUUCAAAUCCCAG